CUGCUGCCUCCCGUAGGAGUUUGGACCGUGUCUCAGUUCCAAUGUGGCCGAUCACCCUCUCAGGUCGGCUACUGAUCGUCGCCUUGGUGAGCCGUUACCUCACCAACAAGCUAAUCAGACGCGGGCCCAUCCUUAUCCGAUAAAUCUUUGAUGGAAAGAAGAUGCCUUCAAACCAUAUUAUGCGGUAUUAUCAGUCGUUUCCAACUGUUAUCCCCCAGAUAAAGGCAGGUUGCCCACGCGUUACUCGCCCGUCCG
rnacentral:rRNA from 1 species